GAGCCGAAUGCUUUGAGUCUUUUCGCAAUGUCGCCUUCAGGAUCAUCGCCGCCAUGGACUCCGUGCUCUGCGUCAGUUUUGAGAGCGGUGGCAAUUUCUUCAACCCCUCCUAGCUCCUGAAGCUGGUUGAGAUUUUUCUGCUUGACAAGGUGAGUGAGGGUAGUUUGAUCAAUUUGGAAUAAGCUAUAUGAUGGCUCAACAGAAAUGGCGGUAUAAGAAGGAGAUGGAGAUGUUUUGGUGUUUUUGUAUUUUGGUAUUGAAAGGUUGAAGGCUCUAGAGCAGUAGAUUGUGGCAAAAGCAUAACGCCAUUUUCUUUGGUGUUUGCUAAGAGUGCUUUUUGGAACAUCAAAAAGCCGCUCGAUUUCAAUGCAAGCCAACUUUGCAUGCAGGGUGGUAGACAUGCUUAAAUGAAAAAUGCUUCCAAGUUUAGAAAUCGCAAUGAAGGCGGCAGCCGCAGCGAGAGAUGAUGACUGCUGUGGCCAAAUUUAAACAACUAUCGACCGGAAUACUAUCACGGAUUCCCAAUAGAGGUAGAGAAAAAGCUUCGGAGAUGAACGAAAUAUAUCUCAAAUGGCAAACAAAUAAAUGGAAGCAAUUGUUGUUCCUCAUAAGUUUGCGUGAGUAUCUACUUAUAGCCAGUUAGUUUACUUAGAGAGGACGGGAAGUUCAGUGGAGACUACGUGUUACCGACGGCAUAAAGUAAAGUUUCCCGCGUUAAGUAUUAUUUCUUUUCCAGAAGCAGCAGAGGGCAUGAGGGCACAAGUUCGUACGUUCAUGUAGUAUAAAAAAGAAGACGAGCCGCCAUGGUAAUGGGAAUCAAAGUCGGUUUUUCAAAACAAAAUAAUGAAUGUCUUGAGCGCACAAACUCAUCUGAUCUGAUGUCGACGCCUGUAUUUUUUGGCAAGGUCAAGGUGAAAACAAUGUUAUAUCCGGGAAGGUUGGACAUUACGAAUAAUGAAUGUGUGCGCUUCUUUUUCUGAACUAUUCACACGUAAUUUCAUUAUUAUUCGCCGUAGGUAUGGAACAUAUUUGUCAUAGGGAAAAAAAACACUUUUUUAAAAGAAAAGACUUUUUUCGACAAGUGUUCUUAAUGGAUGAUCUGUAAAAAAAAAAAAAAAGGCCUAAUACUUAAUCUGUAAGUCAAAGAGGUUGUAUUGUGUUUAGCCAAGCUUUUUUCUCUCCAAACAUCGUGGACGUGGUUAUAAUCAAGGUAUUAAAUAUCGGUAAUAUCGGAAAUAUCGGUAGUCCGAAAACACGGAAAUAUCGAUGGAAAUAUCGGGAUAAUAUCGAUAUCGAUAAAAAUUACAUGAAAACCACGGAAAUUGUAAGAAAAACUUGGAAAUUUUUAUUGAAACUUUGCAGGAUGUUUAUUUAGUCAAUUAUCUAUUAGUUUAUCACAAAAAAUUGGAAGGAAAUGCAUUGCAUGAUGGAUUUAACAUUAUCAAGUUGAUUAUAUAGCGAGCUGACAAACAUUGUGAAUGUAGAAAAUAUGUAGUAAUUAAUGAAAGAAGUCUAAACACACCAUAAUCAUUUAUAUAUAAUGAAUUAGUACAAUAUUUUACACUUUAUACAUUGCAUGGUAAGAUAUAUUAGUGACUCAGUACCACAUAGAGUUCCUAUGAGAUUCAAAAUUAUAUAUUGACGUAAAAUACUAUGUCAAGAAAGUUGCCUUACAAGUUAGAUGACUUUAUCUUUAUGUCUCUUUCUACCAAUUUUUCAUAAAGCAAUCCAUCAGUUGGUAUAUUUCUAGUUUAGAAGGGUCACAUCUUCGAAUAAGGCCUUAAUGUAAAACCCUUCCCUUUAGUUUAUAAUUUUACUUUGUAGGUUUUUAUUUUUAUUUUUUAAAAAAAUUAUUGUUUUUGGAUCUUAAUUAGUGAGCCAAGGGGUCCACCCCCUUAUUUUUGUCCCGAGGCUCUCAUCUCUCAUCUCUCUUAGUCCUCUCUUUCUCUCCACUUUCCCAUGCUCUCCCUCUCUCUGCAACUCUCAUCAUUCCUCCCUCUCUCUGCAACUCUCAUCAUUCCUUCUAGUUCUUCGGUUCUUCCCCGAACUCACACACACACACACACCAGCACUCCCUCAUCUCCCUCGUUCUUCCUCUCCCUCUGCUAGUGCAGACAAGGAACCAAAACCCAGUUUCCGGUGUGGACCGUGGGUUCCAAGGUGAAACUCCGUCGAGCUCCAACCACGGCAUGCCUUGAAAAUGGUAUAGAUCUCUUCCUCUUCCCUUGGGCUUCAGUUUGGUAGUUUAUUUGACAUGUGUUGGUCACGUUUUGGGGUUGACCGGAGCUUGUAAGCUCCGGCGUCCUCUUUCCGUCGAAACCAGGCCAAAAUAUCGCGAUAGUUUCGGAAAUAUCGCGAUAUUAUCGAUAAUAUCGCGAUAUUUUGACGAAAAUCAUUUGGAUAUUGAAAAAAAAAUCGGUUCCCUUAAGGAAGGGAUGGGAUAGUCUCUCUUCUCUCCAAACUUUUUUCAACAAAGACUCAGAGCAUUAUCUGUUUUAAAGUUGAGAAGGGAUUGACUAUAGCUUAGCUACAGUCAAAUUAUUGUCUCUUAGAUUUGAUUAAGGGCAGUUAAUUAAUCUCAAGCGCCUUCCUCAUCUCACUUAUUCUUAACUUUUUAUUUUUGUUCAUAAUUUCUCACAAUAUUCAAAUAAGUAUAGGCAUGAUAUGAAUUUAUUUGCUACUCAUCUCCUCCACACAACCUAGAAGUAACCAAUGGCGAAAGCAGUGGCAGAGUUAGGAUUUCUUGUGAGCAAGUGCCUAACACAAGUAUAGAAGAAGAAAAAAUCAUAUAUUAUUUAUAAAAUCACUAAACAAAGCAUCAUAAUAUAUAUCCAAAUAUUUACAUAUGUGUAGAUAGUUUUAUCUAUUUAUAUACAACAACCAUAAUCAUUCUCGACGAAUUCUCAUAUUUCAAAACCGUUCCAUGAUGUUAUCUAUAUUAUUGAAAACAAUUAUUAAACUCGAGAAAGAAUUACUAAAAAUUGCAAGCCCUAAAACUCAAGUAUGAGGUAGGGUAGAGUAGAAACAAAUAAAAGUGUACAGAGAAUACAGGGUUUUACAAACCUUAUUGUUCUUUGUUCAAUAAAUUUGGGAUUUGAAAUGGCUAAAUAUAUGAAAUUCAAGAAGAAGAGGGGGAAUAGCUCUAUCAGUGCACAAGUGAAAGACGAUUUUUUUUUUAAGCGAAUGAUGAUUUUUAAUUUAAAAGGUUAUUCAUUUUUGUUAAAUGAUCAUUUAACAUAAUAUACUGAAAUUUUGGGAUGGAAUCUGUUGGAUGAAAGAAACUUUAAUAAUUGAAUUUGUUUAAAGUGUGAGAAGGGUUGCAAGGCAAUAAAAAUAAGUGUAAUACUAAUUUCAUUUUUUCAAGUUAGAAACGUUUAGGACUACUCUAGUCCUUAUGUUCUUCCGUCAGUGGGCGGAAGAACAUGAGCCUUGAGUGGGUUUUGUUCCCAACCCCACAGCAUCCAAUCCACUGACGGAAGAACAUGAGCCUUGAGUGGGUUUUGUUCCCAACCCCACGGCAUCCAAAUUCCAAUUGGAGUGGUCAAUGGGUUUUCGUCGACAGAGAUUCAAAAUGUUGACUCACUUCAAAUUCGUGCACAACUGGCAAUUUUCCGUAUGUAACCCGCGUACACUGUCGGAGAAAGAAACAAUGCCAAAUCUUUAGCCGGUUGCGGAAGAAGUCUCUCAUGGAAUUAGGUUCUACCAUAAAACCAAUUGAAGAAAUAUAGGAAGUAGCCCAAUAUCAUAUAAUAAGCCACUAGCUGGGCUUGUCCCUCACCCAAUAACUUGCUCUGAUACCAUGUAUAAUUUCCUCACCCAACAACCUGUUCUGAUACUAUGUAGAAUUUUUCAGAUCGACGAGCCCAGGGCCCACUCCAACAACACUGAUAUUGUCCCCACUUUACCACCUGCCCAUUCCGUCAGGUAUGAGGUUUUAUCACAAAAUGCAUCCGUAUUAGUUAGAGUAGGGUAAUAUUAUUUAAACUCAUUGAGUUUCUUUGAACCCACCGAUGUGGGAUUCUUAACUUCUUAACGGUCUCGCAGGAAUUUACAAUCCUUGAUUAAUUACCCAAAAUGUAUACAAUUCAAUUAAGAAUUUCAAGCUUUUUUUAUUUCGAUUUUUUUUGCCGAAAUUUUUUUAAAGUUAGAUUGAUAUUUGUACAAAGUAAAUUAGACAUGCAUGGUGGAAGCUUUUUGGUCCCGUAUACCGUUAGGCCAACUACCGUUUUGGUGUAGGUUUUCAUAACUUCGUAUUUUUUUCGUCGAGGCUUUGGCUAGUUGUCCUCCUCGCUGUACUUUUUUUUCGUUUCUAAUAAAUUUUGGUAGGCUUGGGUGUUUGAGGAUCCUCCACCAGUCCAUACCUAGGUCAAAUUACAAAAAUAAAUUAGCCAUGGUGGAUAUUUUUAGGUCCUGUAUAUAUAUUUUCUGUGAUCGAUGUUCCAAUGAAUUAAUGAAUAUACGUACAUUAGUCGUUAGGGUUGUAGAGUUAGCUCAACUAAAUUUAAAACCUACAACCACUUAGUACUACAAUUUAGUAGUAUUUUUUCAUUUAUAAGUGAAAUGUCUUAUUUUCGAAUAUCAUAAAUGCUGAGUUCGAUACUAAUUAAUUCAUCAAACUUUUAGUUUAAAUAUAUCAUUGUAUUAAAAAAAGAACUUUAAUGAAAAGCUCUAGGUAAUGUUCAUUUUAACGAAAAACCACAUUUUUACACUGAAAAGUUAAUCUUGAUACUAUUCAUUUUACCCUUUAUUUUGUCCUUAUCGUUAAAACUUAAAGUUUUUAAGUCAUUUUCAUCAGUUUUCCUUAAAAAAAAAUCCUACAAAGUGCCAUGGGAUCAACUUAAUUAACUUAUAGUGGCUUAAUUUCCUAUCAAAUCAUUAACAACCACAACCUUAAGUGUGUGGUAAUGUAAUGGUUUGAUGAGAAUCACAUCAUCAACCCACCUCGAGUGUGGAGUUAGUUCAGCUAAUUUUGUAAGUUUACAAGACUCAUUGGGGUCAAGUUGUUGAUCAAAAUUUCUUAACAAUUCAUUAACAACGCGUCCUUCACCUCAAGCGUUGUAAGUAAUAGAAAAAUUAAGGCUAAAUAGCCAAAAUGGUCCCUGAGAUUGUCCAUCAUCCAUGAUUUUAGUCAUUCUGUUAAAAAAGUUUUGGGCAAUUUUCAAAGUUUCAUAACUCAAUCGAUUCUUAACCAAAUUCAACCCAUAAUAUAUCAAAAUGAAGAUAGAAAAGAGUAGAACAAGAUUAUACCUCUUUGGAAGCCCAAUGGUUACCGGAGAUGGCCGGAAAAUAGCCUGAAAUGUGACUAGUCCGCGGAAAAAAUGAAAAACUCGCGGGAAGGUGCUAGUCGACUACUAUGACAGUUUGGCUCCUGUGUACAACGGUAAAGUCCCAGAAGCAGUUCCAGCCCAGGUGAAGUUCAUGUAUCAUAUUGUAAGAAUCUCUCACUUGUUUCAAAUAAAACCGUGUGAGGCACUGGUGCAGAGAAACGAUACUCGCCUCAACUGUAAUUAGCGUCGUGUAAUUGCAUCUUGCAUGCACUCCCUCGGCGCAUUGUAUCAUAUGUGGUUUUUGUGGAGCCAAAUAUAUUCACUAGGCGACACGUGGACUUUUGGACAAAAGAGGACAAAAAUACCCUCGAGGCAUACCGGGUUUCCUACACGCGAGCAGUGAAGAAUCAUCCAUCAACCAAGUCAGGAGUACCCAAAAUGGGUAACAAUUCAAAACCUAUUUCAUUCCAUAUAUGUUUUUACCUCAUUUUUUCCUUAUUCAAUUAGCCAUUUAUUUCAAACAUUCCAUAACAUCCUCAACCAAUUAAUAUAAUCAAUAUAUUAAAGGCUAAUUACAUCACCAAAUUAAGCCCAAAAAUCACCCUAAAGGCCGGUUAUCCCUUCUCCAAAGGGAGCCGGCCAUUUCCUUCUUUUUUCACCAUAAUUUUCCUUUUUUGUGACAUUGAUUAGCCAAUUAUACAAAAAACCACCAAAACAUUCAUUUUAUGUUUAAUAGCCAAAUAAAUUGGCUAAUUAAACCUAAAUCAAACCCAAAAAACCCUAGCCACCUCCUAUCCCUAUAAAUAUACUCUCAUUUCUCACCAAAAAGCGAAUUUCCAACACUUUGGCAAAAAUCCCAAAAUUCUCUAAACACUAUUUCUCUCUAAAUUCUAACUUUGGCAUCGGAGGUUCUUCGGCCAAAGCCCCCCCCCCAUUCAUCGUGGGCGCGUGAGGCUCUUGGCCUUAACCUAAGGUGUUAAUUGUUUUGUAGGUGCAAAAUUGUCCAAGAUCAAGGAGGAAGAAAUUUGCAUCCACAAUUUUCUUCUAUCGAACAUAGAAUGUGUUAUGCCUUUAAUUUGUCAAAAUAUUCCUCUAUGGUAUAUGCACUGGUUAUGGUUUAAGAUGCUGGAUCCAAAAGAAAAGCAUGAUCAAAUUCUCUAAAUUUCUUGUCUUGGAGCACAGAUUUAGUUUGGUCAAUUGCUCCAUAAUAUUAGGAAUUGCACCAUUUAUUAGGUGAGGGAUUCGAACUUGGGUGCAAUGCGACGGGGAUUCUGCCUUGGCCAAGUACUCUAACCCGUGUUUGCUAUCCUUCUUCAGACAGCUGAAUAUGGGCUUACCGGGAACUGGUAUGCACUUGAAAACCCAACUUAUGGGCCAAGUUAUGGCUGCACUCCCAAUGCAUGCACCCAUUGUCCCCAACUUAAUCGUUAUGUAUCCGCAAACCUGUUCAGAAGUUCCACAAUAACCACCCAAAACAAUUUGUUCCUCUGACUUCAUCUGAAGACAUUAAUCCUCUCCAAACCACUUGAGUUAGACUCAUUAAACACGGCGAAACACAAAUAUGUUGAAGAUCAAUGUGUUGUUUACCUUCUAACACCAAAUAUUCAUCUGUCCCUGAACUGCAAGAGCAAGAGCACAGCUAUCUAGAACGAAGCUUGAGGUAGAAGGUUCCUCCAUAUGAUGUUGGUGAUCACCAUUGGACCCACGAGAGGCCUCUCCAUGAGCUCUUUGGCAGGCUUAUCUGUGACGAAAACUAGAGCAGCCAUUGUGUCCACAAUCAGAUUCACCCACAGCAGCUGGAACGCUAUUAAUGGUACUUCAUCGGCUGAGGUUGCUGCCACAAAGUUGAUCACAAUAAUUGCAACAUCUAUUGUGAGCUGGAACUAAACAAACUUUUGGAUGUUGGCAGAAACUUCUCUUCCCCAUCUUAAAAUGGUUACCAAAGUUGCAAAUUUGUCAUCUAAGAUGACAAAGUCUGAGCUCUCAUUGGCAACUUCAGUGCCCUGAAUCCCCAUCAAAACUCCGAUGUCAACUUCUUUAAAUGUGGGCACAUCAUUCUUACCAACAACUGUCACAGCAACCACAUAGCCUUUCUGUUUCAAGCAAUGCACCAUCAGAAGCUUAUCAAAUGGUGAAGACCUCGCCAUCACGUUAAUUACAUCAACUUUCUGCAUUCUUUGCUCCGACAUGUAGUUGCGAGAUUCUACACCUUCUACCACUGCUUCCUUGGUUACUCCUGGUCAGGCCGGAGUAUGCCACACUCGCUAGCUAUUGAUUUACAGAUGAAAACAUUGUCGCAAGCGAUCAAUUCCACCUACAUCUCGGUAAACUGCCAAAGCUUCAACUGCUUCCCUCACUCCUGGCCUAUAUGGCUCUAUGGAUCCUUUAGGCCUACUAAUCCUAUUACUAAUCCUAAUAGGAUCAAGCUGCUUUCUUCGAGCGUUCCGUACUUAUUUCCGUCAUUAAUGUGCUUAUCCUGAGCUUGUUUGUGUGCAAAGCAAUGCAUCGCAGACCGCUUGCUGCCAUGCCUAAUCUGCUCAAGCUUCAACCUUUCAUCAUCAUUCAGAGCUUUUGUGACACGGACACACAGUAGUAACUCGAGCAUAUUUCUAGUAUCAUAUAUGCAGCUUCUUUCCAAUGCACAUGGGUAGCAUUGUCCGCCUUCCUUCUCAUCAAAACCCCGCUUCGUUUCUAUGUGAAUUGAAGGCUUCAACACGAUGAAUGACACGUUUCUUCUUCAAUUCCUCCAUGUGACCAUGUGCAGUUCCAGAGUAGCCCAUGAAAGAAUGGCUUUCUCAGUAGGACCCAAAAACUCAAAUCCUGAUCCUUAACUAGGCCCAUAAACGCUACCGGACAUGUUAAAUGCUACUCCUCGGAUUAAAUCAAGAAGAUAAUGACAAUUUUAUGAAUAAGAAGCUGUUGUCUCAUUGAAUUUGCUACUCCACAGAUUCUUGUCCAAGCCAAAAAUUUGUAAUCGUCAUCUCAUUGAACGUUAGUGAGCCAGUUUUGUUACGAUGGCACAUUCCAUAGUCUCGCAAGCAAGGAGCCUCCGCACCAGAUCCUGCUCCGCAAUCAUCCUCUUCCUUGAAUAAGUGAGAGUCAAAGUGACAGCAAACGGGAAGCCUUUAAGAAUUGCAAUCACAACGACAAUAACUGCAAUUGCUACCAUGUCCACCACAACAUUCACCACAUCAUCAAUCUUCGUCUUGCUGCCUUCAAACUUGCCAAAUUCACUCUCGUUCUUCAUGUUGCCCGUGAAGUAACGCGCUACCAGGACCUUGAAAACCGUGAAUGCAACACCCAAGCCAAUCUUUGCCUUUAACGGGGUUCGUUUACUUAACCGCUCUUGUAAUGGCGUCUGCCUAUCACUCGUGUCACAGCUGAUCUAGCUCAUCAUUUGGCCCCAUGUCGAAUUCAUGCCAACUGAAGCCAAAAGCAUUUGUCCAUAUCCAUCAACCACCUCGGUUCCGGAAUACAAAGACGGGUUCUGGCCUCCAUUAACUUCCACAUGCUCGCUCUCCCCCAUCAUGCUUGAUUCGUCCAUGCGCAAGUAUUAUCCAACUCAUUUGCAUUUGAAGGAGAAAUGCAAUUAUUAUCCAAACUUUAAAUGACACUUACUAUUGCUCUAACGAGUAUUAUUUUAUUUUUACUCUUUUUUGUUUUGUUGUAAAACUUUUAUAAAUUGAGCUUGAGCGUGCUUACUUGACAUGAAAUCGUGUGAAUUUUCUUACUUUCUAAAAAAUAGACAACAGUGACCGGAUUUUCAUUAUCUUUUCAGUUACAAAUGACAAUUAGCCACCAUUAAAAGUGACUAUAGGCUUUAGUUACUAUGAACUUUCUUUUUUUUUUUGGUAGUAUAACAAUAUAUUUUUACAUUAAGGAGACGGAGAGUUCGACUAAGUCACAAAUGGGUAACCUAAUUUAAUAUUGAAUUCGUAGUACUAUGAACUAUUAAGUAUAAAAUAAGCAAAGAAUAUUUUUAUACUUUGAGAAAAGCUCAAAAAGAAUGGGGUGUGCUAUACACACACCAUUUUUUACUUCUCACACACCCCUUGUUAAUUUCUGUCCGAUGAUCUUCUUCAAUUCAUCUGAUCCGACGGCUGAAAACUAAAAAGGUGUGGGAGAAGUAAAAAGAGGUGUGUGGAUAUCACACCUCAAAAGAAUUAGCAACAUUACAUUAUUGGGACUAAAGUUUUAAUUACAUUAUCAACUAAAAACAGAUGUUGAACACACUUGCAUCCUAAAAUUAUAUAUUAUAUUAUAUCUCUACUAAUUAAUAAAACACUCAUUGUCAACCAAAAUCCUAUGAAAUUACCAGUUUAACCCUCUAAUUAAAACAGAACAUGAAUAAGAAAUAUGGGGUAUAAAUGUAAUUUCACACAACCAAAUUUUACUUUUUUUUUUCAAAGUCUCACUUACAUGUAAUCCUAACAUAUCUCUAAUUAAAAAUAAUAAAUAAUAAAAUUUCUCACACACUUUGUGUGUGCCAAUAUGCUAGUAUAUACUAAAAGAGUAACUUUCGUUUUAAUUCCCAUUAUGUCGUUUUAGGCUCAAUUCACUGUUACUUCUACAGUGUAUAUCUGAUUUUCCCCCCUCCUAUUUGCUGUUAUUUCAAUUUUGCCAGUUUGCUUUGCCGUCAAAUGGAGAACAAAAUGGGAUGCGUGGGUUUUCGCUGCUUCUUCCCUCUCUUUCCUCGACUCAUUGUUCAUCCUUUCCACCGCUUCAAUCUUGCUCUCAUGGUUUUAUUCCCUUUUAAUUUUCUUCUCUCAUGGUUUUGUUGCUUCCUUUCCACCGCUUCAAUCCUUCUCCAGCUGGUUGCAGACUCCAUCAAACCCUAGAACGAGAAAUCUUAAAUCCACAACCCAAAACUCAGUCGUAGGUACCCAACGAAGGUAGAUUAAUUGAAGAAAGAUUGCUCCAUCAGAGCGGGCAAGAUGGCUAGAUGAGAUAGCCAUUCCAUCAUUAAUCAUUUGUAUCAAACUCGUCAUUUCAUAAGACUCGAACCUCAGAACUCUAUGAAAAAGAAUAAAACUAUACCAUACCAUUUUAUUUAUGUUUGAUUACAUUGGUUAUUAUUACUAAUAGUUACGUUUUGUGCAUAUUGUAGUUUUCAUUUUAACUUCCCUAAACUUUCUUCUACUUUCCCUUUCUUACAGGGUUUUAUUUAAGACAAACUUAUACAUCCCAACGCAAAGGGAGAGAGGAGGCAAAGGCUAGCAUUGUUGAUAACGUAAGUGAGUUUGAAAAUAGGAUUUCUAAUAGUUUGCUAGCUGUAAAGUUAUUUCUUUGUUUCCCAUAACGUUCAACUUUUUAUAUACACAUUCACGCUUUCUCCAUUUCUCUUUUCAACUACUAAAGCAAAGAGAUAUUGUAUGUCUACCAAAUUCAGAAAAUCAAUAAUGUUUUAUGAUAGGAUUUUUACCGCCUGCAAAAGUAGGGAUAAAAACACUUAAAAAUACUCGCAAGAAUACAAGGUUGUCGUAGUAUAACGGCUCAAGCAAGGUCGUUUUCCACAGAGAUUGAUUGAAUCAUUUGUAUUUAAACUAAUCCUUAGCUAACUAUUUUAAACAAGGUUUUGAAAAAUAUUGAUUUUGGAAUUUUGAAUAAUAAAAACGAAUUUAAUAAAACAACUAAAUAAAUUGACAAAGAAAAACUAAAGAAAAUAGUUUUGAAAAUAAAGUUAAAAGCCUAGGAUUCCGCCGUCCCCUUAACAAUCCUAUGUAGUUUUACCAAUUACUUAUGAAUUACACAUGCAACUUUGAAGGUUAGGUUUUCCUUAUGCAUAUUCUCCUCAUGAUAUUCAAGCAAGAACGUAUAUCUAACAUGCAAUCCGUCUGUGAUAUUCAGAUCAAAUAUGAACAUGCAAGACUCAUUAUGUUUUAUGAAAACCUUUUGAAAAACCAUGCAACCCCUAAGAGCGUGAUAUUCGCCUUAGGUGAAAUUACAAUUAUUAACCACAAGAAGCAAUACUCAAUCCUUAGGUGAUAUUUUGACCGAAUUGUAUCCGAUUACUUAUCUAAACAUCCUAAUGGUAGCUAAGCAUUAAGAUAUAGAGACAGUUCAAGCACAGUGAUUAAUAAUUCAAAGUAAACAUGCAUAAUACCAUAAGCAAUUGAAUAAAGACUACAUAUUCACGCUAAGGCUCAAGGCUUCGCCCUAGCAAACGAAAAUUAGUUACUAACAAUCAUACAACGAAAUAUUAUUAAAAAUAAGGAUAGAAAACAUCUUGAAAAUAAACUUGAAUCCAAAAACUAGUGUGAGUGCGUUUUCUCCCCCCAAUGUUGCGUUUCUUUUUUCCAAUGUUGCUAAACAGCCUUAUUUAUACUAUUACAAAAUAAAACCCUAAAAGGUCUUAGAAUAAAACUAGGAAACAUAAUUAAAUGAUAAAAUAGAAAAUAAAAGGUUUCCUAUUUGAACUAGAAUUCGGAGUUCUCAGAAAAUUAGUCUUUUGACCGACCAAAUCAACUCCGAUUUGAUCCCAAAAGAUCUCUUUUGAAAGCUGAAGACGUCCCCUACAAAUCCUCAGAAGGAAUCUUUCUCAAAAUAUGCCACAUUGACCUCCAAAAUACCCAAAACAUUUAGAAACGUCAAUUCGAGAAAGCUGCGCGCUGGGUCUUUAUUUCAUCGCCACGGUCAAACGGCUUGUUAGAAAAAUCUGAAACUUUGACACAAAGACGGCAAGAGACACACGAACGUUCUCCAAUUUGAAUCACUCCAAAAUUCGUCCAUUUGAUCAUGUUUUGUUCCAGAGGAAGUCGAAUGUCCUACAUUAGAAAUAUAUAACAAAGUAUCAAAAUUCUACCAAAAUAACCAAUACAUUAUAACUAAGAUUAGGGUAAAAUAUAUGGUAGAAUAUGGACUCAUCAUUUUACACAAUUCUUUCAAACGGUUAGUUGUUGUGCUAUAUCAAAUUAGUCGGAGAGUUGAAGAUAGAAAAUUUAAUCGUGUUGUGUUCAAUUUUCAUUCUUUGACAUUCUUAUCCACUUUAUUACUUCUUUUGAUGUAAUCUGAAUUAUUAUUUUUUUCAUCUUCAUCAGACACUUCUCUUUAGAAAGAAGCAUGUUUGGUAUUCAAUCCACCAUUUAAAUGGGAAAGAAGUUCCCAAAUGGGAAAAAAGAAGUUCCCCCGUCACACGGUUAGAGCCGUAGAGGUAAAUGAUUCUUCUUUCUUGGAUCAAGUUUACUAUGAGCCGUAGAGGUAAAUGAUUCUUUUUUCUUGGAUCAAGUUUUUGCUACUUUACCUUAUGUCUGAUGGCUUUUGUUGUUGUUUGUUUGCGUUAACUAAUAUUUUUGAAUCCCUAGUAGUAUUUUUAUAUUCUUUUGGAAAGAGAUAAUGUUAUUUCAUCCUGCGUUUUUUUCUCAAUAAAUCCAUGCUUUGUUAAUUGUUAGCUUUUCUUUGCUCACUAAAAUAAGCCACCUUAAUUAAUUAAGGUCUCUUGCUGCUGUUUUUGUGAUAAUAUUACCAUCUUUAUUUCAUCUUUUUUUUUCAUUACAUUUUUUACUUCAUGUCACUUUUUACAAUUGGUCCUUACUUGACUGAGCCAUAGUAAAUUGUCCAUAAUUCACCUAUAUACACUCUCGAUUUUGAUGAUUACUCAAAUGAAAUUUGUGAUUAAUUUUUAUUGAAUUGUUUUUAUUUAAUUUAAUCUGUAAUUUUUUUUUAAAUAUGCCGGGGGAGUUGAUAGUCAAGAGGAGGGGAUAAACACAUAUUAAGUUUUUGUAUCUCAAUCUGAUCGUUUGAUUUCAAAUGCUGAUUGUCGUUCUCUUUUCCUUUUCCUUUUGUUUAUAAAGAAUCAAACCAUUUCAGUCGCUAACAGUGUGGAUCAAGUUGUGGUAAAAAGGUCCUCCGCUUAUAUGAUGAUUUAAUAUAUGAACAAUUUAGAUCUUCCGUUAAUUGACAUUUCAAUUGAAUUUUACUUUCAUAUAAUUUGCUUUACAUAAUGUAAAAACUAUUUUAAUGGUUUCAAUAGGAUGAUAUAGAACAACUAUAUUUAUUUUGAUGAUUUUUUUAUUUUUUUGGCAUCUCAAGAAAUACUUUUCUCGAGCCUUGGACCAAUAAGAAAGUGAAACACAUACGUUCUAAAUUACAUGUUAGUUUUAAUCCAUUACUAAAAAUCUUUUUUUUUUUUCUGGAAAUAAACUUUAUAUUAAGAUAAAGAGGACUGAACAAUAACAUGAAAAGCUGAGAAUGAACAGUCGAAUACCGAGUUGAUUCCACCGCUACCACCCAACAAAUCCAAGUGCUGAAAUUUCAAUUAUUAUUCUUUGGGGAGGUAAAGCUGCUAUCUUUCUAUACAAUAUGUUGGAUUUUUUAUUUGCAGUUUUUUUUUAUUUUUUUAUUUUCUCUCUGUUGGAAAUAUUGGUAUUUCUGUUAGUUGUUGAUGGGUAGCUUGAAUUUUGUUCAAGUCGUAGUAAUUUCCGUACAAGUUUACAUUUUUGUGUGGAAUUGGUGCAACUUUUGGUGUUUGUGUGGUGUUAUUUUGAUUGGUUGUUGGUUGAAAAUUGGUUCCUUUGAUUUUGUUAUGUGUUGGUAGCCCCAUUGGUAAAGAACAAAUGGUUGAUUUGCUGGGGAAAUGUGAAUCACUAGAACUAAAGACAUGAGCCUCCGAGUGUUGUAAUAUAUUGUACAAACAUGUAUCUUUUGUUUUUUAUUGAUCAUAAAGAUAUAAAUAUGUUUUGAUAUAGAAGUAAAUAUAUUUUAAUAUAUUUUAUACGUUUAACAUGGUUUUAGACCCGCGGCAUCCCGAGGGCUAAGUUGCUUGUACAUGCUGUACAUCAAAGUUUAAAUUACAUUAUUUUAGUAAAAUAAAAGAAUGUAAGAAAUAAUUAAACAAAAAUGCAUAUCAAACUGUGAUUUACACGUACCGGCAGUGUCGCUACCGAAUUGGUUCUUCAAUCCUUCAAAAUCAAAGGUACUUCAAAUAGAGUUCUUCUUCGACUUCUUCAUCUUGAGAUAGCUGAAAAUAGGAGUCUCAGGAACAGGAAUCGACUUGACAAUCCAACCAAUUGGCCAAGAGACUGCUGCAAUACCAACACAAGCACCCCAUUGCCCCCAAUUCAACCUUUCUGUAUCUGCAAACUUCUUCAAAAACUCCACCAUCACCACCUGCAGCAAAAUUGUGACACCAAUAAUUCCCAAAAACAACUUGUUGGUGUGGAUUCCUCUGAACACAUUCUUCUUCUCGAGCUUCCUUGCAUUGAACUCAUUGAACACCUGGCACAGCACAAAUGUGUUGAAGAUCAGUGUGUCCUUCACCUUCUCCUCCACACCGAAGAUCGAUUUUCCUUUGAACUGCAAUGUCAGGAGGAUUGCAAUCUGGUAGAGUGCUUGAGGCAGGAGGUUCCUCCACAUUAUAUUGGUGAUCAGAGGCUCCGUCCUCCCAACCGGUUUUUUCUUCAUGAGCUCUUUUGUUGGCUUCUCUGUGGCGAGAGCCAGAGCACCUAGUGUGUCCAUGAUCAAAUUCACCCACAGUAAUUGAACAGCUGUUAACGGGACUUCACCAGCAGAAAUUGCUGCUACAAAGUUGAUCACCAGCGCUGCGACAUUGACGGUGAGUUGGAAUUGGAUGAACUUCUGGAUGUUUUCGUAAACACAUCUUCCCCACCUUAAAACUGUGGCCACCGACGAAAAGUUGUCGUCCAUGAUCACGAUAUCCGAGCUCUCUUUCGCGACUUCUGUGCCUUGAAUCCCCAUGGAAAGUCCGAUGUCAGCUUCUUUCAAUGCAGGCGCAUCGUUCGUGCCAUCCCCUGUUACCGCCACCACAUGGCCUAGCUGUUUCAAGCACUGCACCAUGAGAAGCUUGUCAAAGGGGGAGGACCUUGCCAUCACACAGAUUUUGUCCACCUUCUCCAUUCUUUCUUCGGCUGUGUAGUUGCGAAAUUGCACGCCUUCUAUCACUGCACUGCUGAAGAACAUGUCCUGAUCGGGCUUGAGUAUCCCGCAUUCUGUGGCUAUUGCUUUUGCAGUGAACACAUUGUCGCCUGUGAUCAUUUUAACAUUCACCCCUGCACGUUGACAGUCUUCAACAGCUUUCUUCACCCCCGGCCGGCAUGGAUCUUUUAACCCAACAAGGCCUAAUAGUGUCAAUCCAUCUUCUUUUAGCAAAUUUUUAUGUUCUUGAUCAUCCACUUGCUCUUGUACCUCAAUUUCUGUGUGUGCAAAAGCAAUGCAUCUGAGGCUGCUCGCCGCCAUACCUUGGAUAAUCUGCUCAAAUUUCAAUUUCGCGUUCUCAUCCAUAUCUUUAACAACUCCGGAUGCAUUGUAGUAACUUGUGCACAUUGCUAAUACCAUCUCUGCAGCUCCUUUCCAAUGUGCUUGAACAGAAUCGUCCACCUUCCGCUUCAUCAAAACCCCGCUUCGUUUCUUCUGCGAAUUGAAGGCCUCGACAUAGAGAAUGCUGCAACUCUUCACCACUUUCUGCAUAUCCAUCUUCGCCCCAUGCACUGCCCACGAAAGAAUCGCCUUCUCAGUAGGACUCCCCGAGAUUUCAAUUUCCGAACCCGAAUUAGGCCGGAACACACUCCCGGUUGUGUUCAGAGCAACCCCUUCAUGAAUCAAGUUACGAACAAAAGGUGAUAUGGACGAAUACGCCUCUUCUUCCACAGGUUCCUCCCCUAGCCAAAACUUGGUCACCUUCAUUUCAUUCAUGGUGAGAGUGCCUGUUUUAUCGGUACAAAUGACGGUGGCAGACCCCAUCGUCUCACAAGCAGAAAGCUUCCUUACCAUCGCCUUAUCUACCAUCAUUCUCUUCAUCGAAUACGCAAGCGUUAGAGUCACAGCCAGAGGCAGGCCUUCCGGAAUUGCCACCACAACAAUUGUAACCGCAGCAGCAACAAUCCCUACAACCGCGUUUAAUAUGUCGUCAACUUUAGUCUUGCUGCCAUUAUACUCCCGGUUUCCAUUCUCGUCCUCUGUAUUUCCAGUGAAGUACCUAACCAUCAAGACAAUCAGGACUAAAAGUGCAACUACCAAACCGACUUUACCAAUCGAUGACGUUAGCUUGUUGAGCCGAGCUUGCAGAGGCGUCUCUUCACCAUUGUCGCGGCUGAUUUGGCUCAUCAUUUCGCCCCAUGUCGUGUUCAUUCCAACAGAGGUGACAAGCAUCCGAGCGUAGCCAUCAGCCACUUUUGUGCCGGAAAACAAGAAAGGAUUCUGGUGGUGACUAAUUUCGACAUGAUCACUCUCCCCUGUCAUGCUCGAUUCGUCUACUUGUAACGAAUGGCCGUCUAGAAACAAUCCAUCAGCCGGAACUUGGUCUCCGAUCUUUAAACAAAUGACAUCACCAACUACAAUUUCGAAUAUCGAAAUCUGUUGGCGCCUGCCGCCUCUCACGGCUUCGAUUUGGACAUUGUCGCUGACUUUAGACAACUUAUCAAACUGUCUGUUUUGUCUAAAAUUACUCACAGCAGAAACAGAAAUUACCAGAAUGAUUGCAAGAAAUAUGCUUCCGCCAUCGAUCCAUCCAUCUUUUAGACCGUGCACUUUGAUUCCCAAGCCAAGAGAAAGCGUAGCGCAGCCUAAGAGGAUGAGAAUUGUGAGGUCUUUGAAGGCCUCCCACACAAAGUGGAAGAACCCUUUUGUUGGUGGCUUCUUGUACGUGUUCGAGCCGAAUGCUUUGAGUCUUUUCGCAAUGUCGUCUUCUGGAUCAUCGCCGCCAUGGACUCCGUGCUCUGCGUCAGUUUUGAGAUCGGUGGCAAUUUCUUCAACCCCUCCUAGCUCCUGAAGCUGGUUGAGAUUUUUCUGCUUGACAAGGUUAGUGAGGGUAGUUUGAUCAAUUUGGAAUAAGCUAUAUGAUGGCUCAACAGUAAUGGCGGUAUGAGAAGGAGAUGGAGAUAAUUUGGUGUUUUUAUAUUUUGGUAGUGAAAGGUUGAAGGCUCUAGAGCAGUAGAUUGUGGCAAAAGCAGAACGCCAUUUUCUUUGGUGUUUGCUAAGAGUGAUUUUUGAAACAUCAAAAAGCAGCUCGAUUUCAAUGCAAGCCAACUUUGCAUGCAAGGCGGUAGACAUGCUUAAAUGA
rnacentral:lncRNA from 1 species